rnacentral:rRNA from 1 species
AUGGUGGUCGUGUCGGAGGUAGCAGGGGGCUGCGGUGGUGCGGGCCACGGCAGGUGCGAGCGCUCCGGGAAGGAGAAGCACUGCAGGUGCGGCUCGGCGCGACGGCACGCCUGGCAAGACGAGGCCGCGGUGAGCACGGGCGGGGCGCGUACAGGGCGAUGGCUAGGGGCGUGCGCAGAGUGCGGUGACCGCGGUGACGGACGAGGAGAGGGUAAGCUCACAGGGGAGGGAGUAGGGCACGGGCAGCGGGCUCGGGGGGAAGGUUGGGGUGGUCCAACGACGGAGCGGAUGAGGACGUCCGGCGAGGCUUGA